GUGGGCGUAGCUCAGUCGAUUAGAGCGCCAGGUUGUGGCCCUGGAGGUCGUGGGUUUGAUUCCCAUCGCUCACCCCA
rnacentral:tRNA from 1 species